UACAGAGGGGGCAAGCGUUGUUCGGAAUUACUGGGCGUAAAGGGCGCGUAGGCGGCCUUCUAAGUCGAACGUGAAAUCCCCGGGCUCAACCCGGGAACUGCGUCCGAUACUGGAAGGCUUGAAUCCGGGAGAGGGAUGCGGAAUUCCAGGUGUAGCGGUGAAAUGCGUAGAUAUCUGGAGGAACACCGGUGGCGAAGGCGGCACCCUGGACCGGCAUUGACGCUGAGGCGCGAAAGCUAGGGGAGCAAACGGG
rnacentral:rRNA from 1 species